rnacentral:pre_miRNA from 1 species
UUUGUACCGAUUAUAGGCAACUGAUUUAGAGAGUUUUCAGUGCCUAUUUCAGUACAAUA